UUACCGUAGAAAGGAUUGAGCACUUAAGUCUGCGUCUACAGGACGUGACAAGGAGACGAGAAAGCAAAGAAGGUUUCCCGAUCACCGCCUAUCUGUGACGAUAAAUGAAGGAUCGCCAAGAAGAGCCGGACGUCUUCACAUCACCAGAAGUGCGCGUAAACAUAUCGACAUAGCAGUGACAGUGAGCAAACUUUUGUCAGCGAAAAUAAAGUGGUACGGCAAACAAACGUGAUUGCAUACAUAUACGAUGCCGCACGAAAUGUCCUUCAAAACAAUCGACAGGUGAAUGCUAUCUUUUGCUUACAAGCCCGCCUAUUUGCUUUUCGAGAAUGCGCGUCGUGUCGCCCCAGUUAUUGCUCGUAGAAGUCGACAUUUAUGCAAAUGUGGAAUUUGUCGGCUGCACCCGGAUGUACAAGACUACAUCACGAACGCGCGUAACUCUUUGUGAAUGCAAGCAAUCAACAGGGUGGCGAAAAGCGGAAAGACCGACUGUACAAAACAAAAACAAACUCUUUAUGUCGCGAAGGUCGACUCUCUAUGUAGCACCAGACACCGCUGGAGGUUUCAAAGGGGCAAGAGCUUAAUUAAUGUACACAAUCCAAGCAUGC